rnacentral:piRNA from 1 species
UCACCAAAAACUCAUGGCCCCUAGCAUCUU